UCCUUGCUCCCUUCCCUACACAGGCCUCCCAUCUGGGGGAUGUCAAUAGUCUUGUCCUGGCAAGCCUGGGAUGAAGAUGCUCGGAAUUUGGUUGUGUGGUUUCUUCUGUCCUUACUGAAGGCAUUCUGUGUGGGAGAAGGAGGGAAAUGGGGUAUGGGCUGGAACAGCUCAUGCCCACCAAAGCCUGCCUUUGGACAACUCUGGUGACUGGAACUGCCCUUGGAAUGGGCAUGACCUGGUGACACCAAGAAGUAAAUGCACGUAGCCCAGAACAGGCACCCUGAGCCACGUGAGUUUUCUUCUUUCUUCCUUGUUCUGUGCCAUAGGCAAAAUCUGGGAAAUCAUCAGCUGAAACCAGGAGAUGGAAGAGGGCGCGAAAGUGAAACACUUCAUUGUUCCAGAAGUUAGUUUUGCAAGAUGGUGAGGUUAGGAUGUAAACAAAGUGGUGACAGAAACCGUGAAGAGGGAGGAAGAUUUGAGGCAAUAACAACAGGGCUCCGGGUGCAGGGCAGAGUGCCGGCCCUUCCUUUGCCACCUUGCUGGACUGACCCCAGUUUUGAGGCACAUGAAUAAGAACAUGCCUGGCACUCUGGGUCUGCUUUUAUCUGUGCUACAUUCACCAGGGAGGCUUCUCUGUGGUAACGGAAAGAGGGUUUUCCCUAAUGAGAAAGCAACCACAGCUGAAGUUUUGUGCCUCGGGUUUGCAAGCCCAAGCAACACUUGGGCCUGACUCAAAUGGACAAGGCAAGCCCCUCUUCUGCUCAGGCCCAGCCUGGGAGGGACACGGGCUCCCUGGAUGGAGCAAAGAGACAAAGCCAGCUAUCUUUUCUUUUAGAUUUGGAAGGGACCAGGAAUGGGAAAUCCUUUGAGGCCGGCAUUGCCAAGUGUGGCCUCAGCUCUUUCUCCUUUAGGUUCAGGUGUGAGAAGGAGAUAGGAGCCCCCGUGCCCCACAAGAUAGCAGGAUCAUCACCCAGCGAGUCCCCCUGGGCAUAAAGAGGCUGCAACAGUAACAAACAGGGACACAAUGAAUCUGGUUGUGCUGGGAAGGCACAAAGCUGCCCAGGCUGGGACAGGAUGGCAUAGAUGCCCUGCCUGCUGCCCUCAGGGAGGCCCAGGCUUUAUCAGAGUCUCCCGCUUCCGCGUGUUCUACUUUGGGAAGGCUGGGACUGGUGACCCACAGGCUUUGAAUGGAUUUUUCUAUUUUUGCUUCUGCCUCUGCUGUCACCAACACAUUCUGGCAUUUUCUACUCUUUUUACUUCACUUACAGCCCGGAUGGAGACAAAAACAUAAUACCCUGGGCCAAGACAGUUAGAAAUCAGGGCACAAGAGAGUCUGGGUAGAGCAAACAGCAACCUGCCUAAGUGGCGCGGAGCCUUUGCCAGCCAGUGGCGUCUGUCAUCUGUCACUAGAGGAGCUCACUGGCGUCUCUUGCGGUGUCUGGUCAAGAGCACAUGCCAACAAUAUGCUUGCAGAGAGAACAGAUAAACACAUGUGUUUCUUUGUGCGUUUGUAUCUCCCUUCCUCCUGCCUUCCCUCUCUUCCUCCCUUCCACCCCCUCUCUCUUUCUUUCUUUCUUUUUUUCCUUCCUUCCUUUUUCUUUCUGUCUUAUUUCAACACACUACAACCCACGCCAAACAUUUAUAGGUUUUCCUUUGUCCUUUCAUCUUUAUUUCUCUCAGAGCAGGCCAUAAAACCUUAACACAACCACAAA